GCUUGAGGGAGGCGUUGUUGUUGGUCCACAGUGUUGAGAGGUUGGCGGUCGGGUAGUCGGAGAGCUGCCCGGUGAUCAACGGAGUUGCAGUUGCAAGCAGCAGCAACAGGAAGAGGAGAUUGGAAGGAGCCAUGGCACAGCUGCUAAUUAUUGGAGGUAUUGAGGAGACGGUAAGAUUCAGUUAUAAUCUUGAUGUGAAAAGUGUUGUAGAGAUGAGCUUACAGUGAAGAACCCACCUGACUACGGGCUCGACGGGGCGGCACCAGUCGCCGGACCUGCUGCCGGCAUGGAUGGGGUUUGCCUGCCUGCCUGGGGCACUGAGCGUUUGACUGUUUCGGCACGCGGUGCUGGCGAGCAGUGGCUGUGCCGAUCGAAGACAUGGUCGGCCGUGGCGUGGAGUCUAGAUCGUCAACCAGCUUCGUCAUCCAUCGUCUAUUUUAGUUUGAUGAUAUGAUCUAAGACAGCAUGGAAAGUACGUAGAUGAGAUCAUAUAUUUAUUUUUUUUUGUUAUAUUUUGGGUAUGGAAAGUACUGAAAAUAAAGGGACUAUUUUAUAGGCUAAUAAGUUGGUGAAAAAAGAACAGUAGCCUA